GACGAACGCUGGCGGCGUGCGUAACACAUGCAAGUCGAACGAGAGAGUGAGAGGAGCUUGCUCUUCUUGGAUGAGUUGCGAACGGGUGAGUAACGCGUAGGUAACCUGCCUGGUAGCGGGGGAUAACUAUUGGAAACGAUAGCUAAUACCGCAUAAAAUGGAUUAUCGCAUGAUAAUCGAUUGAAAGGUGCAAAUGCAUCACUACCAGAUGGACCUGCGUUGUAUUAGCUAGUUGGUGGGGUAACGGCUCACCAAGGCGACGAUACAUAGCCGACCUGAGAGGGUGAUCGGCCACACUGGGACUGAGACACGGCCCAGACUCCUACGGGAGGCAGCAGUAGGGAAUCUUCGGCAAUGGACGGAAGUCUGACCGAGCAACGCCGCGUGAGUGAAGAAGGUUUUCGGAUCGUAAGGCUCUGUUGUAAGAGAAGAACGAGUGUGAGAGNGGAAA
rnacentral:rRNA from 1 species